rnacentral:ncRNA from 18 species
GAGCGUUCUCAGGGCGGGGUGGAACUCCCCACCGGCGGUAAGCAUCUGUAUUGUGCAAGCCCGCGAGCGCCUCUCUUAUGAGGGGGUCAAGCAGAUCAGGUGAAAUUCCUGAGCCGACGGUUAAAGUCCGGAUGGAAGAGAACGUGC